AUGAACGCUAGCGACAGGCUUAACACAUGCAAGUCGAGGGGCAGCGGGGUGUAGCAAUACACCGCCGGCGACCGGCGCACGGGUGAGUAACGCGUAUGCAACUUGCCUAUCAGAGGGGGAUAACCCGGCGAAAGUCGGACUAAUACCGCAUGAAGCAGGGGCCCCGCAUGGGGAUAUUUGCUAAAGAUUCAUCGCUGAUAGAUAGGCAUGCGUUCCAUUAGGCAGUUGGCGGGGUAACGGCCCACCAAACCGACGAUGGAUAGGGGUUCUGAGAGGAAGGUCCCCCACAUUGGUACUGAGACACGGACCAAACUCCUACGGGAGGCAGCAGUGAGGAAUAUUGGUCAAUGGGCGUAAGCCUGAACCAGCCAAGUCGCGUGAGGGAUGAAGGUUCUAUGGAUCGUAAACCUCUUUUAUAAGGGAAUAAAGUGCGGGACGUGUCCCGUUUUGUAUGUACCUUAUGAAUAAGGAUCGGCUAACUCCGUGCCAGCAGCCGCGGUAAUACGGAGGAUCCGAGCGUUAUCCGGAUUUAUUGGGUUUAAAGGGUGCGUAGGCGGCCUUUUAAGUCAGCGGUGAAAGUCUGUGGCUCAACCAUAGAAUUGCCGUUGAAACUGGGGGGCUUGAGUAUGUUUGAGGCAGGCGGAAUGCGUGGUGUAGCGGUGAAAUGCUUAGAUAUCACGCAGAACCCCGAUUGCGAAGGCAGCCUGCCAAGCCAUGACUGACGCUGAUGCACGAAAGCGUGGGGAUCAAACAGGAUUAGAUACCCUGGUAGUCCACGCAGUAAACGAUGAUCACUAGCUGUUUGCGAUACAGUGUAAGCGGCACAGCGAAAGCGUUAAGUGAUCCACCUGGGGAGUACGCCGGCAACGGUGAAACUCAAAGGAAUUGACGGGGGCCCGCACAAGCGGAGGAACAUGUGGUUUAAUUCGAUGAUACGCGAGGAACCUUACCCGGGUUUGAACGCAUUCGGACCGAGGUGGAAACACCUUUUCUAGCAAUAGCCGUUUGCGAGGUGCUGCAUGGUUGUCGUCAGCUCGUGCCGUGAGGUGUCGGCUUAAGUGCCAUAACGAGCGCAACCCUUGCCACUAGUUACUAACAGGUGAUGCUGAGGACUCUGGUGGGACUGCCAGCGUAAGCUGCGAGGAAGGCGGGGAUGACGUCAAAUCAGCACGGCCCUUACAUCCGGGGCGACACACGUGUUACAAUGGCGUGGACAAAGGGAGGCCACCUGGCGACAGGGAGCGAAUCCCCAAACCACGUCUCAGUUCGGAUCGGAGUCUGCAACCCGACUCCGUGAAGCUGGAUUCGCUAGUAAUCGCGCAUCAGCCAUGGCGCGGUGAAUACGUUCCCGGGCCUUGUACACACCGCCCGUCAAGCCAUGGGAGCCGGGGGUACCUGAAGUCCGUAACCGAAAGGAUCGGCCUAGGGUAAAACUGGUGACUGGGGCU
rnacentral:rRNA from 1 species